rnacentral:rRNA from 1 species
GACAGAGGGUGCAAACGUUGUUCGGAAUUACUGGGCGUAAAGCGUGUGUAGGCGGCCAUGCAAGUCGGAUGUGAGAGCCCUGGGCUCAACCCAGGAAGUGCACUCGAAACUGCGUGGCUUGAGUACUGGAGAGGUUGGUGGAAUUCUCGGUGUAGAGGUGAAAUUCGUAGAUAUCGAGAGGAACACCGGUGGCGAAGGCGGCCAACUGGACAGAUACUGACGCUGAGACACGAAAGCGUGGGGAGCAAACAGG